ACUAUUUUGGCAGAUGUAUGUAUUAAAUUUAGGCUUUAAUUAAAUAGAGUAAUUCUAUAAAUAGUA
rnacentral:tRNA from 1 species